rnacentral:lncRNA from 1 species
CAGAAAGAAACCCAUACACUUAGGUCAAUUAAUCUACAACAAAUGAGGCAAGAAUAUACAAUGGAGAAAAAACAGUCUCUUCAAUAAAUGCUAAGAUGAUGCAAGGUUUCCCCUACAGGUUUCAGAGGAGUAUAGCCCUGCAGACACCUUGCUUUCAGACUCCUAGUCUCUAGAACUGUGAGAGAAAUACAUUUCUACAGUUUUGAGCCACCUAGCCGGUGGCACUUUGUUACAGGAGCCUUAGAAAACUAAACCAGCUUCCAAAUAGGUAGAAGGGAAAGGAAAAAUAAAAUUGGAUUAAUCCUAUAGAAGGCAGACAAUUUUUAACAGGAAAGAAAGGUUUUACAUAAUAUAAAAUAACAGCAGAAAUAAAUUCAAACAUACCAGUAGUUCAAAAAUUAUGGACAUAAUGAAAUUCAUGUAUUAGAAUAUCAAAUGCUGAAUGUGUCUACAAAUCUGAUUCAUUUACAGUUUUCAAAUGACAUCUCUAGAACAAAAUGAUAGAAAUGUAUAAAGAAUACAGAAAAUCAAAGAUACACCAAACACCACCUAAAAAGAGAAAAACCUGGUGUAGCAGUAUUAAUAUCAUAGACAAAAAGGGACAAUUUGUGCAUGCAAUGCAUCAAGAAGAAAUAACUAUAAUAUUCCUAAACAUCAUCUACAAAAAUGUCAAGUGAAAGCUGACAACUCUAAGGCCAAAUGGAAAAACCCAUAGAGUGGGAGAUGUUCUCUUCUAAAAGAAGGAAUCUGAGAACAGGUGUGGGAAAAAAUAGGGCUAUAGAAAAUGUGAACAAUUUAACUAGCAAGAGUAAUUCCAAAAUACGUUUGAAACCCUAUUCUCAACAAACAGAAUUCAUAUUUUCUUUUUUUCUUCAACAUAUGAGACCAUUUACAAAAUUAUCCACGUACUAGGUUUAUAAGAAGUCCUCAUAUAUUCCAAAGAAUCAUGGUCAGACAAUAUUCCCUUGACCAAAAUACACCACUAUUCAUCUCUGAUGUCAACUUCAUUCUAAGAGAAAUAAAAAACUACAAUAAAAAGUAUUUUUUGCUUAUUUUGCAAAUACAAAAGAAGGGUAAUAAAAGCAUUGGUUAGGAUGUGAAAAAAUAUGGACUCCUAGCCAAGGUAGAAGUCUAAAUUGUUUUAAUUUGGCAAUAUAUGGCAAAAUUAAAAAUACCUAUUUCCCCCUUGUCCACCAAUUCAUUCCUGGAAUAUUUUUCCUACAGAGACACUUAACAUGUGUGCAAAGCAGAGUGUACAAGGAUUUUCAUCACAGUAUUGAUUGUUACAGGAAAAGACAGAAAAACCUCAAUGUCCAUCAAUGUGGGAAUGAUUAAAUUGUGGUCUUCUUGGAUAACUGCAUAUAACAAGGAUGGGGCAACACCAUGCUUAUGAUAUUGAAGAACUCCAAGAUCUUCAGGAUGAGAAGCAAUGUUAAUAGUCAUGCUCGUUAAUUUUUUAUAGAGGGAAGGGGUAUUUAUUUUCACUCUAGAAACAUACGCUAACAGAAUCCGCUGACAACAGUUACUUCUAUAAGUACUGGGAGACAGGGAAGACUUAUUCUAACUAAAAGGAAAUAUCUGCAUUUUAACCAUGUUCAUAUAACUAUUCAAAUAAUAAGCAGGCAAAAAGGCUCUAGUCAUUUUAUUCAUUCGUUUCAAAUACAGCAUCUAAAGAAAAUGAACUCUCUAGUGAUAAGCCUAAUAAACUGCAGAUAUUCUAAAUUCCUUUGCACAUUCCCUUUAAAUUCCUUUAUUGAUGAACUGUCAAGGGCAAACAUGUCUGUGCAAUUAAACCAGCAAACACAAUCAACAAGGUUUUCAAGAGGUUCAUUACCUGAGUGGCACAUGUAAAAGUGCUCAAAAACUGCAGGGCAAAACCAGUACAAACAAAUGGAAGACUUCUUCAUUUCAUGGCAAGCCAUCUUGAUGAAUCCUGGCUACCCUUCUGAUCUGUCCCCCUUCCCACUUUCAAAGGACAUAUCACGCAAAUUCUAGCCCUACAGACCUUGGCAGGUGUUGUUCCUUUUUCCUGGAAAGAUUCCACGUGCACUCCCACUCCUGCAUCCCUCCUACACCAUUCCCCCAGGCAGUCAUGUAGCUUACUCCUUGGAUUCACUCAGAUCUAUCUCCUUACCUUUCUUUCUUUUUCAAUCACUUAUCACUACCUUAACAUAAUUUUCAUUGCUUCUUUGUUUGCUUCCCACAUUAGAAAAAGUGAGCCCCAAGAGGGCAAAGUCUACUGCUAUACACAAUACCUGGUAGCAUACGAAGGCACGAAAUAAAUGCAUGUGGCCUAAGUUAGAUACAAUUUACAGAUGAAAAACCUACAGCAUAGCUGUCUUUAUGUUUUAGCCCAACCCCAUCUAACAUAGGUUUAUUUUUUCAAACUGCAGCUUUUUCUUGUCUUUUGUGCCUAGCCCAUGUUCAAAGAUAGGGCAAAUGGAGAAAAGUUCUCUCUGGAGAGCAGACUCAAUAGUGGAGAAAGAACUUGUACCUUGAUACUGGAUUUUGUUGAAAUUCACCUGGCUAACAUGCUACGGGUUCAAAAUUAGCAUUUAUUUUCUUGGUCAUCCAAUUGCAAAAGUUAGGGAAAACCUUUCCCUACAAUAUGAGGAAUAAAAACCCAAUGCUACAGAAGUAUUCUUAAGGCAAGGAUAAGUUCAAUGAUGGAGUUCCCGCUCUGGCACAGUGGGUUAAGGAUCCCACUGCAGUGGCUUGGGUCACUGCAGAGGUGUGGGUUCAAUCCUCAGUCUGGCGCAGUGGGGUUAAGGAUCCUGCAUUGCCACAUCUGUGGCGUAGGUCACAGCUGUGGCUCAGAUACAAUCCCUGGUCCUGGAACUUGCAUGUGUAGUGAGUGUGGCCAUUUAAAAAAAAAAGGAUAAGUUCAAUGAAGUUAUCUGAAUCUAAGCAUAUGGGAGGGACCUCGGCCCUCAUGGCCCAGUAGGUGAGUUAUUUUAAGGACCAAGGAUUUGGCUCCCCUUCCCCUGGAGGGACACCCUUGACCUCUAUCAAAUUCAGCUCUCUGUUGGACUUCUUCCACUUACCUUCUCUGGGCUUCGCUUACCAGAGAAAGAGUGCUCACCUAUGUCAGAGAAGCACAGGGACAGAAAGUAGUCUUUCCACUUUGCUGAUUGCAGACAGUUCUGCUUUGAAGGCACCUCCCCCACCCUACCCAUUUUGGUUUUUUAAGGAAGCCGCACACCCUGUGAUGCCUUGAGUCGUAAGCUUACCCAGUGCCAUAGUUGGCCAGGUCUGACCCAGAGAGAAGAUGGUGUUAGUUGUAAGGCACCAAAACAGAGGCUCCAUUGUCCCCAGCUCUUCCCCACACAUCCUUGUAACCCACGAAAUAUAGAAUGACCUGUCCAAUUCCUGCCACAUCCAUAUGGGUCUCUCGGGGCAUGUUAUAUAUUUUAUGAACUGGUACACAGCCUAGUAACAGCCCAACAGUUUCUGGAAUCCAAUUCUGAGAAAGAAAAUAAGUGCCUACUAUUAAAUACUACAUAUACACAUAGAUGUCAGUAUAAAACAUGGAAGCCUACUCCACUCACACAUGGGCUUUUCCAGUCUCUAUCCAGCAAGUUCUUCUUGCAGUCUAACCUAAUUGCUCUUUGAAUCAAUGUAAGAUUUAGAUUUCUCCUGUUUUCUCUGGAGAAGAGUUCAUAAAUACUCUCCAUCUUAUGUAUCUUUAAAUACUUAAGGGCCCCUCUCUGCCUUCUCUUGUCUACAAUAAAUGAACUCUUCCAUAAGGCCAUGGCCAUCAGCCAAUUUAUUGCAUCAUCCCCUCAAUCCUAAAAACCUGCAUAUUCAAAUCAGAGAUAAAAAUAGUUAUAUUGUAGCAAGUUCUGCUCCUCUGAUAUUUAAAUCUGCCCAUUUAUUAUACCUCUUGGCUUGUUACAUUUUAAAUAGAGCCGAGAAUGAGAAAACAACUGCUUUUUAGAGCAUCUGUCGCUGCUGACCCGGGGUUACCUCUGCAGUGUAGGCUUAUAGCACUUACCUAGGUUAUUAAGUGCUCCGGUGACAUUAUUACAAGAGGGGGCAGGCACGGUGUCAGCCUAAUGAGGCGGCAGAUUAUAUCUGAUGGUCUCCAUCCGAACAUCAGCACAGGCCAGGCUGUGCGCUAAUCAAGUCAUCAAAAGCCCUUCACCUGGGACAACAGCAGCCUUUGUCUCCACUUACGAGGAAAAUGAGCCACCUCCUUUCUAGUGCUAAUAAGUUUAGUGGAGACGGGUUAUGUUCCAUGGGAAAAGCUGGGCUCUCCCCUUCCACGGCAAGCAGCCAAAGCAUGGGGAUCGAGGAGGCAAGAAAUCAUUCCUUCCCCAUUUGGAGCCCAAAUACUUUUGCUGGAAAGCUGACACUGUGUCCUUGAGUUCAGAACCACCAGCACUUUCACGGUGCUUGACGUGGAAUAGGAGCUCCAUGUGUGUUUUUACUGAGUUAUUAGACUUUACACUUGGUUUUGAAGCCCCUGGUAGCCAAAUCAAAAAGAGGAAUAAGGAGGUUAGGGGCACUGACCCUCUGUGCAGUUGAAAUUCUGUGUGUAACUUAUAGUCGGUCCUCUGUGUCCUCGAUUCUGCACCCACAGAUUCAACCAACCAUAGAUUCAACCAAAGACAGAUCAGGUAAUACUGUGUUAUUUACUACUUAAAAAAAUUCUUCUGUUAAGUGGAGCCAUGCAGUUCAAAUCCAGAUUGUUCAACAGUCAACUCUAUACUUGUUUACACAGUUUUCCUGUGUGAAUAAGACAAAGAACACUGACUACUUCAGAAGAUACAGAUUUCUAAUGUUGUUUUGGAAAAAGCUGAGCACGUGCUUCUGUGUGUUCUUGAAAAUCCUCCACUGAAAACCCAUGCAAAGCAAAGGCCAGCAAUAAGUCUGUGCCCUUUCUGUUCCUUGCUGGGGGAAAGACCUUGUUACACAUGGAUUUUCCCAUCUACACAUGCUUACAGGGCAAAGAUCAAGGUCGGUCGGUGGCUGCUUCUCUGCAUCCUUAACAGCCAACAGAGAGCAUACUAUGGACUUACACAUUUGCACUACCGACUAGGCCCAGAACAAGACACCCUGAAUUCCCAUUGGAAUCAGAUCAUUCCCAAGCAGUUAAAUCAUGUUUAGAAAUUUACCCGUGGUUUCUUAGCAAGUGGUCUGCUUCCACUUGCUGAUGAUAUGCAACCAACUGUAGACUUAUUUUUCUUCUCUUUGGGCACAUAGUUACCAAUGACAAAAGAGAGCCCAUAUAUAUAUUCAAAUAGGGGUGCAGAGAAUCUAAUCUGUAUUUCAAAAAAUAAUUUCAUUCAAAAAUAUAAUCAUACAUGCUCUCUCAACCCAGGAGGCAAGAAGCCACACUGCAUUGUCCCAGUUUCUAAGAAGGGUCAGCAGAAAUUUAGAGAAAACAAUAAGCCUACCAAAUUUUGGAAUUUAGUAAUAGAUUAAAAGAGCAAAAACCCUGAUAACUUCUAAUGUCAGCCAGGUUAAGGUGAAAGAGAUAAUCUUACAUGUUAAUAGAGAUAGUGUCACUGAUAUACUAUGCCAAACCACCAGCAAAAAGGUUAUAUCAAAAUCUAAAAUAUGCAUUCCUUUCACAGCAAUUCCAUUUCUAGGAAUCUAUUAUAAGGAGGUAAUAGAAUACUUCUUUAUAACAAGCAAAGAUAUAUGUAUAAGAACAUAUUUGUAUCAUGUGUAUUUUCUAUAAAAGAAAAAACUGGAAACAAUCCAAAUGCCUACUGAUAGAAAUAAAGCAUGGCUUAUUUAAAGAACUAUAAUGGUUCUCUCUCAGGGUGCACACUUACCAAGCAUCGGCUAUGCUGAGCUUAGUUCUAGGCAGUUGUUACAUCACAUAUACAAACCAAACCUCUGGUCUGGUUGAGUUAUAUUCCAGACAUGACACUUUCAAAUAAAUUCUUAAUGGGAAACUUCAAAAUGGCUACACAUUUUUGAAAUACAGACAUACACAUAUCUGUAAGACAUUUUUUGGUAUUCAGAUAGUGCCAGAUGUGCUCUUGAAUGAAGCCCUUGUAGUAGCUCUGAAGCUGUCAUGCUGCCCUUACAUGCAGAAGAGAAGCCGCUGGAGCAGGUUUAAAAUAAAAACACCAGCCUGAGAUUUGGAACACACUUAAGUGACUUUUCGUUUCUGGCUUUGAUAUAUAUACUGACUGCACAAUCUCAACAAUUUACUUAAUCUUGAUAACCCAGUCGUCCCUUCUUUGACUCACAGAAUUAGUACAAGAGAUCAGAAAAAAAGAAAAAAAAUAUCUAAAAACUCUGUAUAGAUGCCUGGAAAAAAAAAAAGUAGAUACUCAAAUAUCUGUUUCCUGCCCUUUCUUCCUAGACUGUCUCCAGAUCCAGAACCCUUAACCACUCAAUGUCUUUCUCCACAAAUUGAUUAUCCAACCUAAAGGAAAAUAGAUCCUUUAAAAAACAUUUAAAUUAUAACAAUGUUGCUGAAUCAAAGGAUUUUUAAUUGCCUUCUCUCUCUUGUCUCAGCUGAUACAUCAGAGGAAAAAAAAUCAAUCUUUGUUCCUUCAGCAGCUAUAUCUUUGUACUUCUUAGCACUAUUCCCUCUUCAUAGAGGAAGUUGGUUUAAAAUCAUUUUUUAAUGAAAUAGAUAUCCACUAGCUUAUUGCCACCUGUAUUCUGAUACCUACAUUUGUUUCCACAAAAUAAUCCUUUUCUCCUAAGGCCUACAAGUCAGAAAAGGCAAACCUUUCUGCAGGUUUUGGAAAACCCACACCUGCCAGGGCAUGCUAGCAGUCCUAAAUUGUCUUCCGCAUCCUCACAAUUUUUCUACUGAAUGUUUUUCUUUAAUUUACAUACUUAAUGGCUCAGCCUCUGAGCACAAUAAAAUCUUUCAGUAGAAUAUCUAUUAGGUGGUUGAACUCACAAAAAUAAAAUCCAGUGGCAUAAAAUAAGCUGUCUUGAGGAGCCGUUGCCAUUUGGGAAGUCAUGCUCCUGCAGGGAACUGCUAGGAAGCCCAUGAAGACCCAGUUCCUGCAGGUGCUGGAGUUGGCCUGUAGCUGCUGGGCUCUACCAAAGCCACAGCGAUUCUUUCAUUUAGUCCAGGGCAAGAGGAGCUGAUUAAGAAUUGAAAAUAACAUUUCUUGAAACUCACCAUCAUCAUACCACAUUUCGUCAGAUACUUUCAAGAACUUAGCACCAAGAUAAAGAAAAAAAUCUGAAGCAAUGGUCUGUUUAAUCUUUUAUGCCUAUGAGAACUGUGUGAUCAAUAUAUUUUUUUCUUUUUUGCCUUGGUUAACAAGAAGUUCUGAUCCAGAUAUAAAUUGUAACUCAUUUAUUCAUUCUUCUAGUCAAUAAACCUACCAAGAGCCCCUAUUACAUAUCAAGCACUAUGCAAAGUGCUGGUGACUCUCAGUUCAGGGUCAUGGAGUCAGCUUUUCAGGAAGCCACGGACAGAGAGUGAAUUAACACAGGGUCAUUACUGUGACUGAGAUAAACACAGGACACUCCAAAAGCUCAGGGAAGCGCAAGCAGUGGGGGGGUUGAGCGGGGAGAAUCAAGGAAGGUGCCCCCCCUCCAAGUGAUAUAACAUAUCAGCUCUGGUUCUUAGUUAUCCCCCACUUGGUUUCUGAUGUUUCUAAUUUUAUUCAAAAAUAUUAUAAAUCUUCAUAGAAAAAAAAUACAUAUUGAUUCAUACAUACAUAUGCAUACUUGAACAUACAUACAAAACUCACUAAACAGUAUCUCUUUAACCUAAAGGAACCCUUAAAAUUUACAAAACAGCUUCCAAGGGCUAUUACAAAGGAUCCUAGGAAAACUGGACCUCUCUGGGAAUAAAAUGCUUUGAAGAGCUGAUUCUAGUCAUAAAUAUUUUCUAUGAUUCCAAAACAACUUUGGUUUUAAAAUAUGAAGAUAUCCUCUUAUUAAGCAUAUAUUUAGCCCUGCCUACUUCACUAUGGUUUACUCCAGCACACCACCCCCAAAGAUCUUGAUCCAGGGACUCUGGCCUGGUAGACAGUGACUGACAACAUAGAUUGACUGAAUGGCUUCUAGAUGGAUUCUGGCUUCAUUCCAGAUUUGGCAGCGCAAAGCUAAUGCAUUCCUUUGCCUCUCUUCCAACCACCUCUCCCCUCUGUCACAGCACUGUGAGAGAAUGGGGUUGUUGGCACAAUUUCAAGUCAUAUCAUUGCUUCAAACCUAUCCCUGAGCAAACCCGGUUUUAUUUCAGAGGAACACCCUCUAGUGAUCUGAACUGGAGGGGCAGUAAAACAAUUCUACAUUUAUGUAGCAUUCUCACCCCCAAAGGAAUGUUUUCUAUGCCUACAAAUGCCUCAGCAGCAAUAAAGAAUCUGGUGGGUUAGAGU